AGGGAAUCUUCCACAAUGGACGCAAGUCUGAUGGAGCAACGGCCGCGUGAGUGAAGAAGGUUUUCGGACCGUAAAGCUCUGUUGUUGGUGAAGAAGGAUAGAGGUAGUAACUGGCCUUUAUUUGACGGUAAUCAACCAGAAAGUCACGGCUAACUACGUGCCAGCAGCCGCGGUAAUACGUAGGUGGCAAGCGUUGUCCGGAUUUAUUGGGCGUAAAGCGAGCGCAGGCGGAAGAAUAAGUCUGAUGUGAAAGCCCUCGGCUUAACCGAGGAAUUGCAUCGGAAACUGUUUUUCUUGAGUGCAGAAGAGGAGAGUAGAAACUCCAUGUGUAGCGGUGGAAUGCGUAGAUAUAUGGAAGAAUACCAGUGGCGAAGGCGGCUCUCUGGUCUGCAACUGACGCUGAGGCUCGAAAAGCAUGGGUAGCGAACAGGAUUAGAUACCCUGGUAGUCCAUGCCGUAAAACGAUGAGUGCUAAGUGUUGGGAGGCUUCCGCCUCUCAGUGCUGCAGCUAAACGCAUUAAGCACUCCGCCUGGGGGAGUACGACCGCAAAGGUUGAAAAC
rnacentral:rRNA from 1 species